UGACUGCCUGCCUGAAAAUUUGUCUCAAACCUUUCAUAGUGUAGGUGAGCAAAGUUUCAGGUGUGUUGUCUU
rfam:Ixodes scapularis strain Wikel colony gcontig_1108379817256, whole genome shotgun sequence.